AGGAGGGCGAGAUGUAUGGUGAUAAGGAGGCUGAGAUACUUGGUGAUAAGGAGGGCGAGAUGCAUGGUGAUAAGGAGGGUGAGAUACAUGGUGAUAAGGAUGGUGAUGAGACUAACAAGGAUGGUGAUAAGGCUGAUAAGGAUGGUGAUGAUGAGCCUGAUAAGGAGGGGGAGGAUGGUGAUAAGAUGGUGAUGAUGAGCCUGAUAAGGAGGGUGAGGAUGGUGAUAAGGCUGAUAAGGAUGGUGAUGAUGAGCC
rnacentral:lncRNA from 1 species